CACUCCUACGGGAGGCAGCAGUGGGGAAUUUUGGACAAUGGGCGAAAGCCUGAUCCAGCAAUGCCGCGUGAGUGAAGAAGGCCUUCGGGUUGUAAAGCUCUUUUGUCAGGGAAGAAACGGUGAAAGCUAAUAUCUUUUGCUAAUGACGGUACCUGAAGAAUAAGCACCGGCUAACUACGUGCCAGCAGCCGCGGUAAUACGUAGGGUGCAAGCGUUAAUCGGAAUUACUGGGCGUAAAGCGUGCGCAGGCGGUUUUGUAAGUCUGAUGUGAAAUCCCCGGGCUCAACCUGGGAAUUGCAUUGGAGACUGCAAGGCUAGAAUCUGGCAGAGGGGGGUAGAAUUCCACGUGUAGCAGUGAAAUGCGUAGAUAUGUGGAGGAACACCGAUGGCGAAGGCAGCCCCCUGGGUCAAGAUUGACGCUCAUGCACGAAAGCGUGGGGAGCAAACAGGAUUAGAAACCCGAGUAGUCCC
rnacentral:rRNA from 1 species